rnacentral:rRNA from 1 species
ACGCUCGACACCUACAGGAGGCAGCAGUGGGGAAUAUUGCACAAUGGGGGAAACCCUGAUGCAGCGACGCCGCGUGGAGGAAGAAGGUCUUCGGAUUGUAAACUCCUGUUGUUGGGGAAAAAGAGGAUGGUACCCAACAAGGAAGUGACGGCUAACUACGUGCCGGCAGCCGCGGUAAUCUGAGGCGGGCUGGCAAGGC